UACAGAGGGGGCAAGCGUUGUUCGGAAUUACUGGGCGUAAAGGGCGCGUAGGCGGCCGAUCAAGUCAGGCGUGAAAUUCCCGGGCUCAACCUGGGGGCUGCGCUUGAUACUGAUUGGCUUGAAUGCGGGAGAGGAUGGUGGAAUUCCCAGUGUAGAGGUGAAAUUCGUAGAUAUUGGGAAGAACACCGGUGGCGAAGGCGGCUAUCUGGCCCGUAAUUGACGCUGAGGCGCGAAAGCGUGGGGAGCAAACAGG
rnacentral:rRNA from 1 species